UUGAGCUUGAUCCUGGCUCAGAUUGAACGCUGGCGGCAGGCCUAACACAUGCAAGUCGAGCGGUAACAGGGGUAGCUUGCUACCCGCUGACGAGCGGCGGACGGGUGAGUAAUGCAUAGGAAUCUGCCCGGUAGUGGGGGAUAACCUGGGGAAACCCAGGCUAAUACCGCAUACGUCCUACGGGAGAAAGGGGGCUUCGGCUCCCGCUAUUGGAUGAGCCUAUGUCGGAUUAGCUAGUUGGUGAGGUAAUGGCUCACCAAGGCGACGAUCCGUAGCUGGUCUGAGAGGAUGAUCAGCCACAUCGGGACUGAGACACGGCCCGAACUCCUACGGGAGGCAGCAGUGGGGAAUAUUGGACAAUGGGCGGAAGCCUGAUCCAGCCAUGCCGCGUGUGUGAAGAAGGCCUUCGGGUUGUAAAGCACUUUCAGCGAGGAAGAACGCCUAGUGGUUAAUACCCAUUAGGAAAGACAUCACUCGCAGAAGAAGCACCGUGCUAGAUCUCACUGUCGCGCAGACAGCC
rnacentral:rRNA from 1 species